rnacentral:rRNA from 1 species
CGGCAUGACACGGACCUUUGCUUCCCUGGAUUCAGCCGGCCGCACGGGUGAGUAAUGCCUAGGAAUCUGCCUGGUAGUGGGGGAUAACGUCCGGAAACGGGCGCUAAUACCGCAUACGUCCUGAGGGAGAAAGUGGGGGAUCUUCGGACCUCACGCUAUCAGAUGAGCCUAGGUCGGAUUAGCUAGUUGGUGGGGUAAAGGCCUACCAAGGCGACGAUCCGUAACUGGUCUGAGAGGAUGAUCAGUCACACUGGAACUGAGACACGGUCCAGACUCCUACGGGAGGCAGCAGUGGGGAAUAUUGGACAAUGGGCGAAAGCCUGAUCCAGCCAUGCCGCGUGUGUGAAGAAGGUCUUCGGAUUGUAAAGCACUUUAAGUUGGGAGGAAGGGCAGUAAGUUAAUACCUUGCUGUUUUGACGUUACCAACAGAAUAAGCACCGGCUAACUUCGUGCCAGCAGCCGCGGUAAUACGAAGGGUGCAAGCGUUAAUCGGAAUUACUGGGCGUAAAGCGCGCGUAGGUGGUUCAGCAAGUUGGAUGUGAAAUCCCCGGGCUCAACCUGGGAACUGCAUCCAAAACUACUGAGCUAGAGUACGGUAGAGGGUGGUGGAAUUUCCUGUGUAGCGGUGAAAUGCGUAGAUAUAGGAAGGAACACCAGUGGCGAAGGCGACCACCUGGACUGAUACUGACACUGAGGUGCGAAAGCGUGGGGAGCAAACAGGAUUAGAUAC